rnacentral:rRNA from 1 species
UCAUAUGCUUGUCUCAAAGAUUAAGCCAUGCAUGUCUCAGUGCAAGCCGUCCAGUACGGUGAAACCGCGAAAGGCUCAUUAAAUCAGUUAUGGUUCCUUAGAUUGUACCCACGUUACUUGGAUAACUGUGGUAAUUCUAGAGCUAAUACAUGCCGACAGAGUUCCAACCAAUUGCGCGGCUUCGGCCGUCGCAUUUAGGAAGGAACGCGUUUGUUAGAUCAAAACCGGCCAAGCGGCGGUUACCUUGUGUUUCCGCCGUUAGCGGCCUGCGCAAAGAUUUGGUGACUCUGAAUAACUUCGAGCUGAUCGCACGGUCUUGUACCGGCGACGUAUCUUUCAAAUGUCUGCCUUAUCAACUGUCGACGGUAGGUUCGACGCCUACCGUGGUGGUAACGGGUAACGGGGAAUCAGGGUUCGAUUCCGGAGAGGGAGCCUGAGAAACGGCUACCACAUCCAAGGAAGGCAGCAGGCGCGCAAAUUACCCACUCCCAGCUCGGGGAGGUAGUGACGAAAAAUAACGAUACGGGACUCAUUUGAGGCCCCGUAAUCGGAAUGAGUACACUUUAAAACCUUGGUCMCRCGAGGWCAWYRAKKCGGAGGGCAAG